rnacentral:rRNA from 1 species
CUGGAGGUAUCAGAAGUGCGAAUGCUGACAUAAGUAACGAUAAAGCGGGUGAAAAGCCCGCUCGCCGGAAGACCAAGGGUUCCUGUCCAACGUUAAUCGGGGCAGGGUGAGUCGACCCCUAAGGCGAGGCCGAAAGGCGUAGUCGAUGGGAAACGGGUUAAUAUUCCCGUACUUGGUGUUACUGCGAAGGGGGGACGGAGAAGGCUAUGUUGGCCGGGCGACGGUUGUCCCGGUUUAAGCGUGUAGGUGUGUGUUCCAGGUAAAUCCGGUUCACUUUAACACUGAGGCGUGAUGACGAGGCACUACGGUGCUGAAGCAACAAAUGCCCUGCUUCCAGGAAAAGCCUCUAAGCAUCAGGUAACAUCAAAUCGUACCCCAAACCGACACAGGUGGUCAGGUAGAGAAUACCAAGGCGCUUGAGAGAACUCGGGUGAAGGAACUAGGCAAAAUGGUGCCGUAACUUCGGGAGAAGGCACGCUGACACGUAGGUGAAGUGAUUUACUCAUGGAGCUGAAGUCAGUCGAAGAUACCAGCUGGCUGCAACUGUUUAUUAAAAACACAGCACUGUGCAAACACGAAAGUGGACGUAUACGGUGUGACGCCUGCCCGGUGCCGGAAGGUUAAUUGAUGGGGUCAGCGCAAGCGAAGCUCCUGAUCGAAGCCCCGGUAAACGGCGGCCGUAACUAUAACGGUCCUAAGGUAGCGAAAUUCCUUGUCGGGUAAGUUCCGACCUGCACGAAUGGCGUAAUGAUGGCCAGGCUGUCUCCACCCGAGACUCAGUGAAAUUGAACUCGCUGUGAAGAUGCAGUGUACCCGCGGCAAGACGGAAAGACCCCGUGAACCUUUACUAUAGCUUGACACUGAACAUUGAGCCUUGAUGUGUAGGAUAGGUGGGAGGCUUUGAAGUGUGGACGCCAGUCUGCAUGGAGCCGGCCUUGAAAUACCACCCUUUAAUGUUUGAUGUUCUAACGUGGACCCGUGAUCCGGGUUGCGGACAGUGUCUGGUGGGUAGUUUGACUGGGGCGGUCUCCUCCUAAAGAGUAACGGAGGAGCACGAAGGUUGGCUAAUCCUGGUCGGACAUCAGGAGGUUAGUGCAAUGGCAUAAGCCAGCUUGACUGCGAGCGUGACGGCGCGAGCAGGUGCGAAAGCAGGUCAUAGUGAUCCGGUGGUUCUGAAUGGAAGGGCCAUCGCUCAACGGAUAAAAGGUACUCCGGGGAUAACAGGCUGAUACCGCCCAAGAGUUCAUAUCGACGGCGGUGUUUGGCACCUCGAUGUCGGCUCAUCACAUCCUGGGGCUGAAGUAGGUCCCAAGGGUAUGGCUGUUCGCCAUUUAAAGUGGUACGCGAGCUGGGUUUAGAACGUCGUGAGACAGUUCGGUCCCUAUCUGCCGUGGGCGCUGGAGAACUGAGGGGGGCUGCUCCUAGUACGAGAGGACCGGAGUGGACGCAUCACUGGUGUUCGGGUUGUCAUGCCAAUGGCACUGCCCGGUAGCUAAAUGCGGAAGAGAUAAGUGCUGAAAGCA